rnacentral:rRNA from 1 species
GGUUAAGUGACUAAGCGUACACGGUGGAUGCCUAGGCAGUCAGAGGCGAUGAAGGGCGUGCUAAUCUGCGAAAAGCGUCGGUAAGGUGAUAUGAACCGUUAUAACCGGCGAUACCCGAAUGGGGAAACCCAGUGUGUUUCGACACACUAUCAUGUCAUGAAUACAUAGUGGCAUGAGGCGAACCGGGGGAACUGAAACAUCUAAGUACCCCGAGGAAAAGAAAUCAACCGAGAUUCCCCCAGUAGCGGCGAGCGAACGGGGAGGAGCCCAGAACCUGAAUCGGCUUGUGUGUUAGUGGAAGCGUCUGGAAAGUCGCGCAGUAAAGGGUGAUAGCCCCGUACACUAAAAUGCACAGGUCGUGAGUUCGAUGAGUAGGGCGGGACACGUGACAUCCUGUCUGAAUAUGGGGGGACCAUCCUCCAAGGCUAAAUACUCCUGACUGACCGAUAGUGAACCAGUACCGUGAGGGAAAGGCGAAAAGAACCCCGGCGAGGGGAGUGAAAUAGAACCUGAAACCGUGUACGUACAAGCAGUGGGAGCACCUUCGUGGUGUGACUGCGUACCUUUUGUAUAAUGGGUCAGCGACUUAUAUUUUGUAGCAAGGUUAACCGUAUAGGGGAGCCGUAGGGAAACCGAGUCUUAACUGGGCGAAUAGUUGCAAGGUAUAGACCCGAAACCCGGUGAUCUAGCCAUGGGCAGGUUGAAGGUUGGGUAACACUAACUGGAGGACCGAACCGACUAAUGUUGAAAAAUUAGCGGAUGACUUGUGGCUGGGGGUGAAAGGCCAAUCAAACCGGGAGAUAGCUGGUUCUCCCCGAAAGCUAUUUAGGUAGCGCCUCGUGAACUCAUCUUCGGGGGUAGAGCACUGUUUCGGCUAGGGGGCCAUCCCGGCUUACCAAACCGAUGCAAACUCCGAAUACCGAAGAAUGUUAUCACGGGAGACACACGGCGGGUGCUAACGUCCGUCGUGAAGAGGGAAACAACCCAGACCGCCAGCUAAGGUCCCAAAGUCAUGGUUAAGUGGGAAACGAUGUGGGAAGGCAUAGACAGCCAGGAUGUUGGCUUAGAAGCAGCCAUCAUUUAAAGAAAGCGUAAUAGCUCACUGGUCGAGUCGGCCUGCGCGGAAGAUGUAACGGGGCUAAACCAUGCACCGAAGCUGCGGCAGCGACGCUUAGGCGUUGUUGGGUAGGGGAGCGUUCUGUAAGCCGUUGAAGGUGGCCUGUGAGGGUUGCUGGAGGUAUCAGAAGUGCGAAUGCUGACAUAAGUAACGAUAAAGCGGGUGAAAAGCCCGCUCGCCGGAAGACCAAGGGUUCCUGUCCAACGUUAAUCGGGGCAGGGUGAGUCGACCCCUAAGGCGAGGCUGAAAAGCGUAGUCGAUGGGAAACAGGUUAAUAUUCCUGUACUUGGUGUUACUGCGAAGGGGGGACGGAGAAGGCUAGGCUAGCCGGGCGACGGUUGUCCCGGUUUAAGCGUGUAGGGGGUGUGACCUGGUAAAUCCGGUUGCAUAUCAACCCUGAGGCGUGAUGACGAUGCACUACGGUGCAGAAGUAGUUGAUGCCCUGCUUCCAGGAAAAUCCUCUAAGCUCCAGGUAACAUUAAAUCGUACCCCAAACCGACACAGGUGGUCAGGUAGAGAAUACCAAGGCGCUUGAGAGAACUCGGGUGAAGGAACUAGGCAAAAUGGUGCCGUAACUUCGGGAGAAGGCACGCUGGCAUGUAGGUGAAGUCCCUCGCGGAUGGAGCUGAAGCCAGUCGAAGAUACCAGCUGGCUGCAACUGUUUAAUAAAAACACAGCACUGUGCAAACACGAAAGUGGACGUAUACGGUGUGACGCCUGCCCGGUGCUGGAAGGUUAAUUGAUGGGGUCAGCCGCAAGGCGAAGCUCUUGAUCGAAGCCCCAGUAAACGGCGGCCGUAACUAUAACGGUCCUAAGGUAGCGAAAUUCCUUGUCGGGUAAGUUCCGACCUGCACGAAUGGCGUAAUGAUGGCCAGGCUGUCUCCACCCGAGACUCAGUGAAAUUGAACUCGCUGUGAAGAUGCAGUGUACCCGCGGCAAGACGGAAAGACCCCGUGAACCUUUACUAUAGCUUGACACUGAACAUUGAGCCUUGAUGUGUAGGAUAGGUGGGAGGCUUUGAAGCGUGGACGCCAGUCUGCGUGGAGCCAUCCUUGAAAUACCACCCUUUAAUGUUUGAUGUUCUAACUCGGCCCCGUGAUCCGGGGUGAGGACAGUGUCUGGUGGGUAGUUUGACUGGGGCGGUCUCCUCCCAAAGAGUAACGGAGGAGCACGAAGGUUAGCUAAUCACGGUCGGACAUCGUGAGGUUAGUGCAAAGGCAUAAGCUAGCUUGACUGCGAGAGUGACGGCUCGAGCAGGUACGAAAGUAGGUCUUAGUGAUCCGGUGGUUCUGAAUGGAAGGGCCAUCGCUCAACGGAUAAAAGGUACUCCGGGGAUAACAGGCUGAUACCGCCCAAGAGUUCAUAUCGACGGCGGUGUUUGGCACCUCGAUGUCGGCUCAUCACAUCCUGGGGCUGAAGUAGGUCCCAAGGGUAUGGCUGUUCGCCAUUUAAAGUGGUACGCGAGCUGGGUUUAGAACGUCGUGAGACAGUUCGGUCCCUAUCUGCCGUGGGCGUUGGAAGAUUGAGAGGGGUUGCUCCUAGUACGAGAGGACCGGAGUGAACGCACCACUGGUGUUCGGGUUGUCAUGCCAAUGGCAUUGCCCGGUAGCUAAGUGCGGAAAAGAUAAGCGCUGAAAGCAUCUAAGCGCGAAACUUGCCUCAAGAUGAGUCUUCCCUGGGCCUUUAAGGCCCCUGAAGGAACGUUUAAGACUAAGACGUUGAUAGGCUGGGUGUGUAAGUGCAGCGAUGCAUUGAGCUAACCAGUACUAAUGAUCCGUGAGGCUUAACCUU